GGACGGAGUUAUCAUUUUUGAAGCGAUUAGCUUGCUAAGAGUGGAAAAGUUGAUAACUUAGUGGCGGACGGGUGAGUAACGCGUGGGUAACCUGCCUUACACAGGGGGAUAACACUUAGAAAUAGGUGCUAAUACCGCAUAAGCGCACAGUCCCGCAUGGGACAGAGUGAAAAACAUUAGUGGUGUAAGAUGGACCCGCGUCUGAUUAGCUUGUUGGCGGGGUAACGGCCCACCAAGGCGGCGAUCAGUAGCCGGCCUGAGAGGGUGGACGGCCACAUUGGGACUGAGACACGGCCCAAACUCCUACGGGAGGCAGCAGUGGGGGAUAUUGGACAAUGGGGGAAACCCUGAUCCAGCGACGCCGCGUGAGUGAAGAAGUAUUUCGGUAUGUAAAGCUCUAUCAGCAGGGAAGAAAGAAAUGACGGUACCUGAGUAAGAAGCCCCGGCUAACUACGUGCCAGCAGCCGCGGUAAUACGUAGGGUGCAAGCGUUAUCCGGAAUUACUGGGUGUAAAGGGAGCGUAGACGGUAAUGCAAGUCUGGAGUGAAAGGCGGGGGCCCAACCCCCGGACUGCUCUGGAAACUGUGUAACUGGAGUGCAGGAGAGGCAGGCGGAAUUCCUAGUGUAGCGGUGAAAUGCGUAGAUAUUAGGAGGAACACCAGUGGCGAAGGCGGCCUGCUGGACUGUAACUGACGUUGAGGCUCGAAAGCGUGGGGAGCAAACAGGAUUAGAUACCCUGGUAGUCCACGCCGUA
rnacentral:rRNA from 1 species